UUACGAUCAUAUCACGUUGAAAUACCGGUUUCCGUACGAUCACCGGCUAAGCAAUGUCGAGCCUGGUCAGUACCUAAAUGGGUGACUGUCUGGGAAUAAGUGGUACUGUAAG